rfam:Schistosoma rodhaini strain Burundi genome assembly, scaffold: SROB_scaffold0001839
CUGAUGAGUCCCAAAUAGGACGAAACGCGCGUC